rnacentral:misc_RNA from 1 species
AACUUUUGGCAAUGGAACACUUGGUUCUGGCAUCGAUGAAGAACGCAGCGAAAUGCGAUAAGUAAUGUGAAUUGCAGAAUUCAGUGAAUCAUCGACUCUUUGAACGCACAUUGCGCCCGCCAGUAUUCUGGCGGGCAUGCCUGUCCGAGCGUCAUUUCAACCCUCGAACCCCGCCGGGGGUCCGGCGUUGGGGAUCGGCCCUUAACCGGCCGGCCCCGAAAUACAGUGGCGGCCUCGCCGCAGCCUCUCAUGCGCAGUAGUUUGCACACUCGCACCGGGAGCGCGGCGCGGCCACAGCCGUAAAACAAACCAAACUCUGAAAUGUUGACCUCGGAUCAGGUAGGAAUACCCGCUGAACUUAAGCAUAUCAAUAAGCGGAGGCU